rnacentral:lncRNA from 1 species
GCGGCUUUACCCCUGGCUCACCUAAUUUAUUCACUACUAUUCUUAUUUUGAAACCCAAUCACAAAUGGCUCUUAUAAAAACUCCCUAUUGACAGCCUAUUGCCCAUCUUUCACUUUUGUUUAGUCGUUAUGAGCUCUCUCAAAUCCUCUUUCACAAUUUCUCAAUCUCACUCACUCAGCCCUCCUCUCCUCUCUUCUCUCUUUCUUGCUCACACCCACAUCGACAACAGUCACUGUCACCUCCUCAGAAACCCUAACCCACAUCGGCGACGACGACCUUUCCACCUCUGUCUCUCACUCUCCAUCACCUCUUUCGAC